rnacentral:lncRNA from 1 species
UUCCUUUUUUCCUUUUAAAAAAAAAACUCUCUCACUCAUUAGGCGCCGCUCGACGGUUCAUCGCCUUCUUCCAAGGCUCUCCGAACCACCCUAGUCUCCGAUGACAACGGAGAAGGAGCAACAAUUCCGGUUGAGAGGUACGCUUUCCUUCCCUUUUGCUUGUUUAUUUCAUUAGUAAACGCAUAACAAAAGGAAAAUAAAAAAACAUGAACUGCGAAAAAAAGGGAGAGGGUGAACCCAGGAAUCACGUUUUUGGUGUUUUUGUAUUCUGAUUGCAGAAAAAACGUGAAGGUUACAACAUAUUCAUCCCUUUUAUAGUUUCUACUUUACAGAAAAAUAAAAAUAAAAAUCGCCCUUGUUCUGCCUUUUUUAUUUUUUCUCUCUCUGUUCCUCUUUUUGUAUUGUUUGUGUCUGCUUUCUGCUGGUUUGUGCAUCUCCUGCAGGUAUGGAGAGCAGGUGUGCGGACGUGGAGGUACGGGGCGAUGGUACAUGUGCAAGGGAGCGAUGCUUGGCACGCGCGGGGAAACGAUGGGGUAUCUGUUGCGGUGCUAAGGGCCCUAGCCGCUAGGGUUUGCCAUUGUGUGUUAGGACAUUGGGCCUUUUGGGCUGAAUCAGUUUGCUGGGUUUAGGUUUAGGGCUUAAUUUGGGCCUACUGUUGGAUUUUGGGCUUGUAUUGUAAUUUUGGACUGUGGACAUUUUAAUUAUAUAUUGGUUUUUUAAUAUCUGUAUCGGGCCCGGGCAAAUUGGGCCUAUUACAGCUGCCCCUCUUUGCUCAUUGUCGUGUAAUGAGAAUAGAGCAAAGACUAAAGAGGACCAAUUUAUCCUGAUCGUACUUGGACCUUGGUGCUCCUCUUCAAGUAGCCUCAUUCCAUCUUGCUGCAUCUUCAGAGGUAUAGGAAAUAGUGCUUCGAUCCACUCCACUACAAUGUUAGGGAGAUAGGAUUUGUAACUCGUAGCUUUUUAAUCCGCUCCACUACAACUUCAGGGAGAUAGGAUUAUUGAAUUCAAUCUGCUCCACUGCAACCUCAGAGAGAUAAGAUUUGCUUCUUCAAUCUGCUUCACUGUGACUUUAGGGGGAUAAGACUCAUUUUUUCAGUCUACUCCGCUGCAACCUCAGGGAGAAAAGACCUGAUGCGAUCCACUCUACUGCAACUUCAGAGAGAUAAGAUCUAUUACUUUAAUCCGCUCCACUACAACUUCAGGGAGAUAGUAUUAUCGGCUUCAAUCUGCUUCACUGCCAAUGCAAGAAGGCAAGACGUGCUAUCUUCAACCAGCUCCACUGCACUCGAUGGAGGCAAGACUUUGUUUUCGAUCUUCUUCGUUGUUAACGCAGGAAGGCAAGAUCUACUAUCUUCAUUAAUCUAUUUUCUGGGGAACAUGAC